GCAAAGAUGACAUAUUGUUGAAUAUCUUUGGCCUGUAGUGCAAAGAUGAAUUGUUGAUGAAUAUAUUUGGCACGUAGUGCAAAGAUGACCUGUUGUUGAAUAUCUUUGGCCCGUAGUGCAAAGAUGACCUGUUGCUGAAUAUCUUUGGCAUGUAGUGCAAAGAUGAACUGUUAAUGAAUAUCUUUGGCCCGUAGUGCAAAGAUGAAUUUAUUAGUAUGAUUAUGAACAGAAACUGUGAUGUGGUAUAACCAUGAUCUUUGAUGUUUCAGGUAAAGACAGGUGAUGAAAAUUAUCUUCGUCCUGGAUGAGAUAAGGAAUUUGGAACCACAAAUAUGAUUAUGAGUUAUUCACAUGAAUGUGGACAGGAACUGUUGAUUUAUGUUACAGGGAUAAAACAUUAUUGGUGGACUUUUAACAUGGAGAAGAUAAUAGACUUUAUGGUCUAUUUGACUCUUCUAAUGGAUUGCUCAUUCCGCUGCAACUAUGGUUGAAAAGUUUUAUCAUCUACCAUAUGUUCUAAAUCUCUGAUUUAUUACUGAUGAAGGCUAUUGAUAAUUUAAUUAUCUUUAGUCAUGAUAUUCUUUACUGAGCUAGUUGUGCUCACCCUUUUGCUUCACAAUUUCUUUCAGGUAAUAAGAGUGUAGCUGAUCGAGCGGGGAUAACAGGGGAAUAGUGUGGUGGUCCGAGAUUGUCAAAGUUUCUCAACACAUUAUAAAACGACAUGAAAUAAAAUAUAUAAUUGUAUUGAGGACCUAAGAUGUGUGUGUCGUAUAUUAUACGUCACUUAAUAAUUGAUUUUGGUGAACAAC
rnacentral:lncRNA from 1 species